UGACAGACAGUACCAAAAGUGUUAAAAACUUUAGUGAAGUAGGCACAAGUAAUCGCGCAAAGUCACAAACUUCGAGCAAGAUGACAAAGCAAAGAGCAAGAUGCAGAGGCUGUUGGUGGAUGAUGUCUAUGGGAAGAAAUGAUGUGGAACAGGCAUUGAAUAACAAGAACAGAGGAAACAGCGCAAAAAAGUCACAGGUUCAGACCACAGCCUGCAAAGCCUUGGACUGAUAAAGCAACUGUUUGAACCAAAGAAUGUUCUUUGGCUAUGAAGACAAUUUAUUGUAAAUGAUUUUUGCAACAAACAUGAAGUUCAAUUUUUUUUUCUAUUUCGUUAUAGUUCUUUUGCUUUUUGGAGACUGUAAAGCCUACCUUUGGGAGUUGUUUUAUACUGAAAUAAACAUGGCUUUUCUUAAUUACUGUUUUGUCCUGGUUAAGACACCAGAAUGCAAUUGCUGGUUAAGAUAUCACUUCCUCUUGCUCUCUUUUUCUAAGUCACAUGGUGUGAAUCAGUCAGGCACAGACAACCUGGACCAUAUGUCAGCCCUAAUGACCUGCAGUAUUCUUUUACACCUCUUCAUCCUCCAGAAAAACACCGACUGCUUAAAGGUCUUGGUUCAAAGAGCAAGACUUUUUUCUGAAAUCUGUCCAAGAUCGCAAACAUCACCCUCUCAUCCCUCCUCGUGAUUUAAAAACACUAUCACCCACAGAAAUUAAAACCAUGACGUCAAGAAUGUACAUGGAUACACUUUAUUGUCACGACUACGGUUAGUAGGGCAAUUAGAAUGUAUGUUAAUGAGGCAUAUCCAUGAACAAUCAUGACAUCAUAGAUGGACCGUUUUGUAGACACGCCACCAUAAACACCAACAUGAGCCACCACACCUGUAACUUUUUGCAUAUACACAAGACACAAGUGUAAACAUUGUCUGUGAGCUGUAUAUUUUAAAAGUGCUACAAAAUAAAAAAGCAGUUUCAAAUAAAACUCACUUAAGUUUCCGAUAGUUCAAAUGACAGUUUCCUCUGAGCAAAAAAGCUCCCAAGGCUAAUCUCUAACAUUCACAAGCAGAACUUUGCUAUUAAUAAUAGUUGUCAUCAUUUGGCAUAACCACCAAAUUUGAAGGUUCGGGUCUUCUCCAGUGGAAAACUUCCAAUAACUGAUUAGAGCAGUAGUUUAGUAAUCAGCAUUACAGGCAGACUGAGCUUUUUUAUUUUAGAAAACACAACAAAAAAUUUACAAGGAAAAAAAAAA